CAUAACCCCGGGAAACUGGGGAUAAUUCCGGAUAACGCAUAUUUGCUGGAAUGCUUUAUGCGUCAAAAGGAUUCGUCUGCCCAAGGAUGGGUCUGCGGCCUAUCAGGUAGUAGUGGGUGUAAUGUACCUACUAGCCAGCGACGGGUACGGGUUGUGAGAGCAAGAGCCCGGAGAUGGAUUCUGAGACAUGAAUCCAGGCCCUACGGGGCGCAGCAGGCGCGAAAACUUUACAAUGCGGGAAACCGUGAUAAGGGGACACCGAGUGCCAGCAUCAUAUGCUGGCUGUCCGGAUGUGUAAAAUACAUCCGUUAGCAAGGGCCGGGCAAGACCGGUGCCAGCCGCCGCGGUAACACCGGCGGACCGAGUGGUGAUCGUGAUUAUUGGGUCUAAAGGGUCCGUAGCCGGUUUGGUCAGUCCUCCGGGAAAUCUGAUAGCUCAACUAUUAGGCUUUCGGGGGAUACUGCCAGACUUGGAACCGGGAGAGGUAAGAGGUACUACAGGGGUAGGAGUGAAAUCCUGUAAUCCCUGUGGGACCACCUGUGGCGAAGGCGUCUUACCAGAACGGGUUCGACGGUGAGGGACGAAAGCUGGGGGCACGAACCGGAUUAGAUACCCGGGUAGUCCCAGCCGUAAACGAUGCUCGCUAGGUGUCAGGCAUGGCGCGACCGUGUCUGGUGCCGCAGGGAAGCCGUGAAGCGAGCCACCUGGGAAGUACGGCCGCAAGGCUGAAACUUAAAGGAAUUGGCGGGGGAGCACAACAACGGGUGGAGCCUGCGGUUUAAUUGGACUCAACGCCGGGACAACUCACCGGGGGCGACAGCAAUAUGUAGGCCAAGCUGAAGACUUUGCCUGAAUCGCAGAGAGGAGGUGCAU
rnacentral:rRNA from 1 species